rnacentral:rRNA from 1 species
GGAUUAGGCAUGCAAGUCGAACGUGAUCCAUUACUUCGGUUUUGGUGAAAGUGGCGAAAGGGUGAGUAAUGCAUAGAUAACCUUCCUCCGACUCUGGGAUAACAGGGAGAAAUUCCUGCUAAUACCAGAUAGGCUCAGCGAGUCGCAUGGUUUGCUGAGUAAAGUUGGCCUCUCAACGAUGCUCGCGGUUGGAGACGGGUCUAUGUGCUAUCAGCUAGUUGGUGGGGUAACGGCCUACCAAGGCAAUGACGGCUAGCCGACCUGAGAGGGUGACCGGCCACACUGGGACUGAGACACUGCCCAGACUCCUACGGGAGGCUGCAGUCGAGAAUCUUCCGCAAUGGGCGCAAGCCUGACGGAGCGACGCCGCGUGCGGGAUGAAGGCCUUCGGGUUGUAAACCGCUGUCGAAGGUUAAGAAAAGGCUAGGAGUUAAUAGCUUCUAGUUUUGACAAAAGCCUAGAAGGGAGCCACGGCUAACUUCGUGCCAGCAGCCGCGGUAAGACGAAGGUGGCAACCGUUGUUCGGAAUUACUGGGCAUAAAGAGCUCGUAGGUGGCAUGGCAAGUCGGUUGUGAAAGCCCCUGGCUCAACCAGGGAAUUGCUGCCGAAACUGCUGUGCUUGAGUGUGAGAGGGGAGAGUGGAACUUCCAGUGGAGCGGUGAAAUGCGUAGAUAUUGGAAGGAACGCCGGUGGCGAAAGCGACUCUCUGGCUCACUACUGACACUGAGGAGCGAAAGCUAGGGUAGCGAACGGGAUUAGAUACCCCGGUAGUCCUAGCCGUAAACGAUGGGCACUAAGUAGAGGGGUUUU